GAUAUCCCAAGUUGUUUGUCUGUUAAAGGGGAAUGGUUCUCCAGUUCUUUUCUGUCUGUAUAGCAGACAGAAGAAGCCUGUCAGGCUAUUAUGGUUGAAAAUUUAUCAGUUGACCCAGAGCUGAUUCUGGAUACAACGGAAGCCCAGGAAGGAAGUGGUCCUGAAUUUGUGUCUGCUAGGGAUGUUGAUAUUGUAACUAGGUUGCAUCCAGUUAAGGUCAUAAAUAGCUCCCAGAGACCAAACAAUUCUGGUGCUUCUAUUUUGCCUGUUGCUACUUCGUUGCUGCGUAAAGAUAUGACAACCUUGUCUGAUCAGGGUGAUAUCAUAGCCAAGGCACAAAGAAAGCAUGAAGUUUUCUUGAUGAAGCAGACAAGACUGAAUCGAUCAAAAAGGCAGUAGCAGGAUAUGAGAAGCAAAGCAGUGUUUUUAAAUGCUUAUGUCAGCUGCAGAUGUGGCCUUGAAGGUCUCUUCAAGUACAGUGGUGGAGUGGCUCAGCUGGUAAGACAGAGAAAGAAGAGGACUAAGGAAGACAUAUUCCAGGAGAUCCUGCAAGCCUCUGGUGCUUCAGAUUGCAAGCAGAUCGCUUGGACGGUGGAUAUCAAUGACAAAAUGCAGAGGAAUAAUGAGAACAGGAAAUACAGGCAGCAAGAGAUGAUGGUGCUGCUGAGGAAGCAAACAGACAUGCUUUGGUCUCUGAUUGAACUUCCGGCUGAGCACAUCUGUGCUCACCUCCCCUGCAGCCCAUAGACUACUGCAUUCCAGGACUUCCGUACACUCCCUUUCCAUCCCAUUCCAUGCAUCUUCCAGGACCCCAACAGUAUCCAAUGCACUCCACCCCCCAGGAGAGUACACACAAUGACAGCCGCACAUACACCACCAAGUCUAUAACACAGGGUGGGCAAACUUUUUGGACCAAGGGCCACAUCUGGCUAUAGAAAUUGUAUGGCGGGCCAUGAAUACUCGGGAGGGGAUGCGGGAGGAGCUGAGGGCUCUGAUUGGGGGUGCAGGCUCUGGGGUGGGGCCAGA